UGCUUGUUGGGGUUGUAGGACACUCUAUACGGAGUUACAAAGGACGACAUUAGACGAAUCAUCUGGAAAGAUGAAUCAAAGAAGGUAAUAAUCCUGUAGUCGAAAAUGUUGUCUCUCUUGAGUGGAUCCUGAGUACGACGGAGCACGUGAAAUUCCGUCGGAAUCUGGGAGGACCAUCUCCUAAGGCUAAAUACUCUCUAGUGACCGAUAGUGAACCAGUACCGUGAGGGAAAGGUGAAAAGCACCCCGGAAGGGGAGUGAAAUAGAACCUGAAACCGUGUGCUUACAAGUAGUCAGAGCCCGUUAAUGGGUGAUGGCGUGCCUUUUGUAGAAUGAACCGGCGAGUUACGAUUUGAUGCAAGGUUAAGCAGUAAAUGUGGAGCCGUAGCGAAAGCGAGUCUGAAUAGGGCGUUUAGUAUUUGGUCGUAGACCCGAAACCAGGUGAUCUACCCUUGGUCAGGUUGAAGUUCAGGUAACACUGAAUGGAGGACCGAACCGACUUACGUUGAAAAGUGAGCGGAUGAACUGAGGGUAGCGGAGAAAUUCCAAUCGAACCUGGAGAUAGCUGGUUCUCUCCGAAAUAGCUUUAGGGCUAGCCUCAAGUGAUGAUUAUUGGAGGUAGAGCACUGUUUGGACGAGGGGCCCCUCUCGGGUUACCGAAUUCAGACAAACUCCGAAUGCCAAUUAAUUUAACUUGGGAGUCAGAACAUGGGUGAUAAGGUCCGUGUUCGAAAGGGAAACAGCCCAGACCACCAGCUAAGGUCCCAAAAUAUAUGUUAAGUGGAAAAGGAUGUGGCGUUGCCCAGACAACUAGGAUGUUGGCUUAGAAGCAGCCAUCAUUUAAAGAGUGCGUAAUAGCUCACUAGUCGAGUGACACUGCGCCGAAAAUGUACCGGGGCUAAACAUAUUACCGAAGCUGUGGAUUGUCCUUUGGACAAUGGUAGGAGAGCGUUCUAAGGGCGUUGAAGCAUGAUCGUAAGGACAUGUGGAGCGCUUAGAAGUGAGAAUGCCGGUGUGAGUAGCGAAAGACGGGUGAGAAUCCCGUCCACCGAUUGACUAAGGUUUCCAGAGGAAGGCUCGUCCGCUCUGGGUUAGUCGGGUCCUAAGCUGAGGCCGACAGGCGUAGGCGAUGGAUAACAGGUUGAUAUUCCUGUACCACCUAUAAUCGUUUUAAUCGAUGGGGGGACGCAGUAGGAUAGGCGAAGCGUGCGAUUGGAUUGCACGUCUAAGCAGUAAGGCUGAGUAUUAGGCAAAUCCGGUACUCGUUAAGGCUGAGC
rnacentral:rRNA from 1 species